GUCUAGGGCCAUACCACCCUAAGCGUGCCCAAUCUUGUCUGAUCUCAGAAGCUAAGCAGGAUCAGGGCUGGUUAGUACUUGGAUGGGAGACAGUACUGACAAUCACUAACCUGUUACU
rnacentral:rRNA from 1 species